AUUGAACGCUGGCGGCAGGCCUAACACAUGCAAGUCGAACGGUAGCACAGAGAGCUUGCUCUCGGGUGACGAGUGGCGGACGGGUGAGUAAUGUCUGGGAAACUGCCCGAUGGGGGGGGAUAACUACUGGAAACGGUAGCUAAUACCGCAUAACGUCGCAAGACCAAAGUGGGGGACCUUCGGGCCUCACACCAGCGGAUGUGCCCAGAUGGGAUUAGCUAGUAGGUGGGGUAAUGGCUCACCUAGGCGACGAUCCCUGGCUGGUCUGAGAGGAUGACCAGCCACACUGGAACUGAGACACGGUCCAGACUCCUACGGGAGGAAGCAGUGGGUAAUAUUGCACACUGGGCGCAAGCCUGAUGCAGCCAUGCCGCGUGUAUGAAGAAGGCCUUCGGGUUGUAAAGUACUUUCAGCGGGGAGGAAGGCGGUGAAGUUAAUAGCUUCACCGAUUGACGUUACCCGCAGAAGAAGCACCGGCUAACUCCGUGCCAGCAGCCGCCGUAA
rnacentral:rRNA from 1 species